rnacentral:rRNA from 1 species
GAUGAACGCUGGCGGCGUGCCUAAUACAUGCAAGUCGAGCGAACAGACGAGGAGCUUGCUCCUCUGACGUUAGCGGCGGACGGGUGAGUAACACGGGGAUAACCUACCUAUAAGACUGGGAUAACUUCGGGAAACCGGAGCUAAUACCGGAUAAUAUAUUGAACCGCAUGGUUCAAUAGUGAAAGACGGUUUUGCUGUCACUUAUAGAUGGAUCCGCGCCGCAUUAGCUAGUUGGUAAGGUAACGGCUUACCAAGGCAACGAUGCGUAGCCGACCUGAGAGGGUGAUCGGCCACACUGGAACUGAGACACGGUCCAGACUCCUACGGGAGGCAGCAGUAGGGAAUCUUCCGCAAUGGGCGAAAGCCUGACGGAGCAACGCCGCGUGAGUGAUGAAGGUCUUCGGAUCGUAAAACUCUGUUAUUAGGGAAGGACAAAUGUGUAAGUAACUAUGCACGUCUUGACGGUACCUAAUCAGAAAGCCACGGCUAACUACGUG